GUUGUAUGGUUAAGUGACUAAGCGUACACGGUGGAUGCCUUGGCAGUUGGAGGCGAUGAAGGACGUAUUAACUUGCGAUAAGCCUAGUCAAGCUAGUAAAAAGCACUUGAGACUAGGAUUUCCGAAUGGGGAAACCCACCUGCUUGCAGGUAUCGUUAACUGAAUACAUAGGUUAACGAGGCGAACGCGGAGAACUGAAACAUCUAAGUACCCGUAG
rnacentral:rRNA from 1 species